rnacentral:rRNA from 1 species
AGUGAACGCUGGCGGUAGGCCUAACACAUGCAAGUCGAACGGCAGCACAGUAAGAGCUUGCUCUUACGGGUGGCGAGUGGCGGACGGGUGAGGAAUACAUCGGAAUCUACUUUUUCGUGGGGGAUAACGUAGGGAAACUUACGCUAAUACCGCAUACGACCUACGGGUGAAAGCAGGGGAUCUUCGGACCUUGCGCGAUUGAAUGAGCCGAUGUCGGAUUAGCUAGUUGGCGGGGUAAAGGCCCACCAAGGCGACGAUCCGUAGCUGGUCUGAGAGGAUGAUCAGCCACAAUGGAACUGAGACACGGUCCAGACUCCGACGGGAGGCAGCAGUGGGGAAUAUUGGACAAUGGGCGCGAGCCUGAUCCAGCCAUACCGCGUGGGUGAAGAAGGCCUUCGGGUUGUAAAGCCCUUUUGUUGGGAAAGAAAAGCAGCAGGUUAAUACCCCGCUGUUCUGACGGUACCCAAAGAAUAAGCACCGGCUAACUUCGUG